ACUCCUACGGGAGGCAGCAGUGGGGAAUAUUGCACAAUGGGGGAAACCCUGAUGCAGCCAUGCCGCGUGUGUGAAGAAGGCCUUCGGGUUGUAAAGCACUUUCAGUAGGGAGGAAGGUAGUGUAGUUAACACCGUGCAAUUAUUGACGUUACCUUACAGAAGAAGCACCGGCUAAACUCCGUGCCAGCAGCCGCGGUAAUACGGAGGGUGCGAGCGUUAAUCGGAAUUACUGGGCGUAAAGCGCAUGCAGGUGGUUUGUUAAGUCAGAUGUGAAAGCCCGGGGCUCAACCUCGGAAUAGCAUUUGAAACUGGCAAGCUAGAGUAC
rnacentral:rRNA from 1 species